GAGGGUCUCGCGGCCUAUCAGCUUGUUGGUGGGGUAAUGGCCCACCAAGGCUUCGACGGGUAGCUGGUCUGAGAGGACGAUCAGCCACACUGGGACUGAGACACGGCCCAGACUCCUACGGGAGGCAGCAGUGGGGAAUCUUGCGCAAUGGGCGAAAGCCUGACGCAGCAACGCCGCGUGGGGGAUGAAGGCUCUCGGGUUGUAAACCCCUUUCAGCAGGGACGAUCGUGACGGUACCUGCAGAAGAAGGCCCGGCCAACUACGUGCCAGCAGCCGCGGUAACACGUAGGGGCCAAGCGUUGUCCGGAUUUAUUGGGCGUAAAGGGUUCGUAGGCGGUGCGGCAAGUCGGGAGUGAAAUCUCUGGGCUCAACCCAGAGGCUGCUUCCGAAACUGCUGUGCUUGAGUGUGGGAGAGGCGCGUGGAAUUGCAGGUGUAGCGGUGAAAUGCGUAGAUAUCUGCAGG
rnacentral:rRNA from 1 species